rnacentral:rRNA from 1 species
UACGUAGGGCGCAAGCGUUAUCCGGAAUUAUUGGGCGUAAAGGGCUCGUAGGCGGUUUGUCGCGUCGGGAGUGAAACACUGGGCUUAACUCAGUGCUUGCUUCCGAUACGGGCAGACUAGAGGUAUGCAGGGGAGAACGGAAUUCCUGGUGUAGCGGUGAAAUGCGCAGAUAUCAGGAGGAACACCGGUGGCGAAGGCGGUUCUCUGGGCAUUACCUGACGCUGAGGAGCGAAAGUGUGGGGAGGCGAACAGG